rnacentral:rRNA from 1 species
UACGGAGGGUGCGAGCGUUGUCCGGAAUCACUGGGCGUAAAGGGCGCGUAGGCGGCAUGCCAAGCGUGUGGUGAAAGCCCGGGGCUCAACCCCGGGUCGGCCGUGCGGACUGGCGUGCUCGAGCACUGUAGGGGCGGGUGGAACUCCGGGUGUAGCGGUGGAAUGCGUAGAGAUCCGGAAGAACACCGGUGGCGAAGGCGGCCCGCUGGGCAGUGGCUGACGCUGAGGCGCGACAGCGUGGGGAGCAAACAGG